CAGCGCGUAGCUUAGUGGCCAAAGCGUCGGCUCGGGGAGCCGAAGACCGCAGGUUCGAAUCCUGCCGCGCUGA
rnacentral:tRNA from 1 species